CUGGGACCAAAUGACAGUGUACAAAACAUUAGUACUUGUUUCACUCGUUAGUUUGGUUUGAUGACUUACGGUGCGGCUAUAGGAAUUUAUUUUUUUUUGGUUUAGCAUGCGAACAAAAUAAAUAUUAAAACAAAAUAAGAAAAAUAAAUAUAUAGUAAUAAAUAAAUUAAUAAUUUAUACUAAAGUUGAAAUUAAAAUAAUAACGAAAGAAUUAGAGAAAAUUUAAAUGUAAUAGUUUUAAUUGAAAAAAAAAACACCUAAAACGCGUGUGAAAAUUUGAAAAAAAUAAUAUUUAAAAACGUAAAGAAAAAAGUUUAAAACUUUGUUUUUUUUAUUUGGCAGUUUCGAUUUUUUAUUAUUUGUUUAAAAUCCCCUUUCUUAACAAACGAAACGAGCCUGAAAGUUUUUGGCCCCCUUAAUACCCCACGCCUUUAAGUUGUCAUUACUAAAACAACGUGUAGAGCAAAGUUCACAAAAAGGAAAAAAAUUAUUUAUAAUUUUUGUUUAAAUUUAAAGCGUUUUUAAUUUUGUUAAAAUAUUUUUAUAAAUAUAAAACUAAGUUAAAGUUUUCAAUUAAAAGUUAUAAUAAAUUUUAAGGUUUUAAUUAAAAUAACCUACAAAAAAUCAGCUGUUUAGCUAAAACCAAGUGUCAAAAAAAAAUAAAGAGAGAAAACAACAACAACAACAAUUAACUGUUAUAAUUAAGUGUUAAUAAUAAAACAACAAUUAAUGUAAUAAAAAAAAAUUUAAUAAAAUUACAAAAUUUAAAGAAAAAUAAUUAAAAAUUUUGGAAAUUUUGAAAAUUUAAAGAAUUUUUUAAUAAAAAAACUUAAGAGCACAAGUUUAAAGAGAGAUUUUCUUUUAAGUGAAAGUGUGUGUGUGUGUGAAAAACUGUGUGGAAGGCAAGUGGAUUUUGUUGUGAGUUUUUGAGCUGGUAGUGGUAAUAUCCUGGUUAAGUUCUACUACACCCACACAUGUUUACAACACGUUCAAAAUUUUGCACGCCAAUUUUUAGUUAGUUACACGCAAGGCAACUCUUUGGAUUAAACUCAUUUUUUUGAACUAAAAAAAACGCUAAAAUUCUCAUUUCCUUAAAAAAAAAUUACAAAAAAAACACCUUUGAACAGUUGCCGUGCUAAAAAGAAAAUUUUUUAAAUUUGUUAAAAACAACUAACUAAAACAUGUAAAAUAAAACAAUCUACAAAUUAACUGCCUUGUUUUAAAGAAAAAGAACUCUGCUCCUAAUAUACUCUUCAUAAACAAAAAUUACCCACAAAUAAAAACCAAAAAAAAAGAUUUUUUUUUGAAAUAUUUUGUCUAUAGACUAUAAAAUCAUCGAUUUUUUUUUGUACUCACUUAGAGAGAGGAUUUUGUAUUAUUUGUUUCUUUUUUUUUAAAAGUGAAGUGUUGUUGUUUAUAAAUAAUAUUACUUAAAAAUUACUGCAGUAGCAAACAAAUACAAAAAAAAAGCGCUAAAUUAAGCUUAAUUUCAAAAGGUUGUUGUUAAAAACAAAAAACUAAUAACAAUAAUUGGCUUUUAAACAAAAAUAUAGAAAUAACCAUAAAAAAAAAAUUAAAACUCUUGCUACUAAAACUGAAAAAUUAAAAAAAAAAACGCUAAUUUGCAAAAAACGCUUAAAUUUAAAAAACUCAAAGUUUAAUAAUAAAACAUGUUUAAAUCAAUAAAACUAAUAUUAAAACACAAUAAAAACUUUAAAAAUAGUUAAAAUCUUUAAAAACGCUUCAAAUAAAAUAAUUUAAAAUUCUAACCUCAAAAAAAAUCACUAAAAUUAAACAAAAAAAACCAAAAAUUUUCCGUUAAGCAUUUAAUGCAAAAUAAAGAAAAUAUUACAAAAAAACAACCUUUAAAUAAAUACAAAAAAAUACACUCAACUACAUAAAAAAACUAAAAAAAAAAUUGUUAAAAUUAUUUAUUUUUAUAAUCAUUGUUAUUUGUUAAAAUAAAAAAAAAUUGCAAUAAAAAAAAGAAAAUAAAUUAAAAAAAUACGCUGUGCAUUUUCUAGUAGCUGAGAUUCAACAACCACAAGUUAGAAAAAAAUCACUAAAAUUACCUUCUAAAUAAAAUAUAAAAAAAUCACUUAAUUAAAAAAACGCCUAAAAUAACAUAAAAAAACCCACAAAUAACACAAAAAAAAAUCAGCUAUUUAACAAAAAAUUAAACAAAAAAAACAUUAAAGCAUAUAAAAUAUAUAUAUAAAACAAAAUAAAAGCAAUUUGUUAAAUACACAAAAAAAAAAAAACAAAAAAAAUAAUUAAAUUUAAAUAAAAAAAGGUGCCUUUAAUUUAUAGCAAAUUUUACAACAUAUUAAAACAAAAAAAAAGAAAAAUUAACCCUAAAAUUAAAACACGUGCAAUAUUUAUUAAUAAGCCAUAAAAAAAUUUUGUCCUAAAUAAUAAUAAUAAUAAUAAUAAUAAUAAUUUUAAACUUUGUGAUUUGUUUUUAUUAUCUUUAAAUAAAUAUAUAUAUAAAAUAUAAUUUGCUUAACUAAAGCAAUAACAAAAGUUAUACAAGAAAAAAAAAAAAUAAAUAAAUAAAUAAAAUUCAUUAAAAAUUUCUUUAAGAAAUUUUUAAAUAAUUAUAUUGCAAAUAUAUUUCGUUGCUGUUUGUUUUUGUAAAAAUUUUAUGAAAAAAUGAGUGACAGGGAGCGAUCGUCCCCAACACUGAUCGAAACUGGUUUAAAAAACUUAAUUGGUGGACGUGAUGGCAAUUAUCCAUUGAUAAGCGGCAUAAAUGGUAAGCACAAUUCCUAAGCUUAUUUUUAUAAGAAGUCAUUUUCAAAAUGUCGGUAAGUUAUUCAAAAAUCUCGUCUGAGAAAAUGAAAGAGGCCUUUAUAAGAAAUUGGAAAGAUUUGAAGUGUAUGUAUAAGUAUAUGGAUAAGUCUAUUGAAUAUGAAUUUGAGAACUAGUAUAUUGACUGGUCUAUUCAUUUAUGUAUGGACCAGUUUAUGUAUUAGUCUUUGAACUUAUCUAUUAACUAGUCUAUGGGGUAGUCCAUUGGCUACUCUAACUAGUCUUUGGACUAGUCUAUGAACUAUUAUAUUAACUAAUCUAUGGACUAGACUAUAGACUAGUCUAUGGACUUGUCUGUGUACUAGCCUAUUAGUCUAUGGACUCCAUAGGUUAGUCUAUCUUCUAUUUUUAUAACUGUUUCAAAUUAAACUUGAUCCCCUUAAAAUACAUCUAUUUGAUUUUUUCUCUUUUCUCAUUUUGGGAAACCUUUUCAAUCUUCCUUACUUCUUACCUUACAAGUACUUCAUACAAAGUGUUCUCAAAAAAGAAAUUGCCUUUUUUAAUGAAGAUUAAUUUCAGUCUUAUUGGCACUUGUAUCAAUGUCAGUUUUUGGGCUUCGACAAUAUGCAAUGAGAUCUAAAUGUGCAAAAAAGACACAGUAAUAGUGAUAUUACCACUUAAUGGCAAAUGGUCAUGUUAACAAUUGUCAAUGUUAAUGUGAAUAAAUUUGUCUUGUGAUGAACAAAAUGUCAAAGAAAAUAUAGCAUAUCAUGUUUUGUAAAUAUAAAGUAAUAAAUUUUGUGACAAUAAGAAGUAUUAAGGAAACACGACUUUAAUAAAGUGAUUAAUAUGAGACAAAUUUUUCGACAUAUUUUGUUUCAAUAAUAAAGUUUUGUUAAGCUGUUAUAAAUAGGUCUUUAAAAAAAUGUGUCCUAUGUAGUAAAAUUUUCUUUGUUUUCCAUGAGACCCUUAGCGGCCUGGGUCUUCUUUUCGGAAAUUCAAAAAUUUCUUAAGAAUUUAAAAUAAUUUCCAUUAAAAUAAGUUAAAUUUCUAAAAAUGUUCUAAAUUAUGCAUUAAAAAGUUUUUUUUAGUAAAAAGUUCUAUUCAAAUACUUUUUUUAAUUUAAACAACAAUUUAAAUUCAAAUUUUUCAUUUUUAAAAUCCUACAUUAACAUUUUUCUGCAAUUUAUUUUGUUAGAAAACAAGACAGAAGCACUUUCAACAGGAAUAACAACAGCACAAAAGUAUGCAAUAAAAACAAAAAAGCAUUUACACACACAUACAGCUGAACACACACAGUAUGAGUCAGAAUUUAAGUAACACAAAUAUUUUAUCCAGGCAUAACAACUACAUACUAGGUAAUGGGUAUUAGUGGAAUAAGUAGUACCAUCAUGAAGAAA